AAGAUCUUGCAUGCUCGUGCGUGCGCAAGACCAACGCAAGAUGUGCACUUUGUGCGCUCAUCCCAUCCACGUUGGGGCGAGAGGUGCAAUUUGUGCGCUCUUCCCAUCGCAUGCUAAUGGACGCGGCUUCGUUAGCCCUGUGUGCGCACGGUCUGCGCAGUAGAACUGUGCGAUAGGCUUGCGUGUUAUAGGCCUACGCACGCGACAGGCUAGGCCUGCAGCAUGCGACU
rnacentral:lncRNA from 1 species